rnacentral:lncRNA from 1 species
AAAAAAGCUUUCUAGUGUGCCCAGCUAAAUAUUAUCAGUUUGUAACAUUUCCCCCAAUGUUUGGUUUGUAAUGAAAAGCAGCCUGAGGAAGCUGCUCUUGGGUGCAGUGAUGGGCUGGUAUUGAACCCUCCCACUGCUGUAAACUAUUUCCUCCUUUCAAAAUUGUAAACCACCCGGAGAGUGCUUGUAGCGCUAUGGGGCGGUACAUAAGUCCAAUAAAUAAAUAAUGCCGCCCACCAGCAGUACAGUAUUCACAUUUGUGGGGUGUGACUGGGACAGAUCCUCUGUUUUCCCCAUGGCAGGAGAGUAGCUUGGGGAGAGACAGUUCUGGGUUGUGCGGGGGACUGAAUUAGCAAUUCUGUUCUGUUGUAGCCCAAUCCCAUACCUGCCUUUCAUUUAAAAAAAUACAAAUUGGAGAAUGUGCAUGCACUUGUAUGUAUCAUCUCAUUUGGGCCUAUGGGAGACAACAGCCAAUCAAACAAGGGUGGGAUUGUGAAGGAUUGUCCAAUCUAAGUCUCAUUUAAAGAUAAGGAACCAAACAUUUUAUUAUAAAGACCAGCCAACGCAGUUCUUGAACCAUUUCACCUGAUGAAAAGAACUUGAAAGCUUGUAUCACAUAUGCAUCACUUCUGCAACAUUAAAGUACAGUAGUCCUAAUACAGUAAAAGGAUCACUUACAGCAAAAUAAGUUGGCCAAUUCUUAGUGAAGAUUCCAGAAGGACACCUAUAUCUACAUUCAGGCUGAAAAAAGCCCAAGCCAGUAGAUGGGCGGGCAUUUUACAUACACUGGAGCACAGUGUGGAAAACCUUUUGAAUGACAUGUGCCAUGAACAACAAACUUUCUUUACCAGACUCUGCCACCCGAGGAGGAACUAAAUAAGUGGUUUAACAGAUAUGCUCUUUCAACAAUAUAUGUACUUUGAUACUGUUGGACUUUAUGCGUU